GCUCACGAAGACGCGUUCACGUUUGGCAGCUCCACGUCGACAUUCUUCCAGCUGCAUAUAGUGAAGUGCAACAGAACUGAGGGAAGAAAAAGGUAGGCAAGCAGCUACCUUACGACCAGAGCGCUGCAAGACGGACAUGGACCGCGGUCAGAGCACACACACGGGCGUCUGCAGAGGCAAACCAUCCGGGGAUCAGCAGAGUCAGCAGAGGCUCGCUUUCUGCGUUUGCAUUUCAUGAUCCAGACGUGUUGGGGCCCCCUCGUUGCUGGAUUGCAGCUGCUUGGUUCCUCUUGCCGUCGUUGCUACCUUACACCAGGCUACGGCAGUUUAAAGGAGCACCCGGUCGAGAGGAGGAUAAGUCUCUGCACAAGGACAAACCUAUGAGGUGGCACUGUGGCUUUCCAAAUAAAGUUCUGUGAUACACUAAGACUCUGAAGUGCUUGCAGUCAGUGCAUUACAGAACUUUGUUUUGGGAGUUUAUUGCUUUAACCUGUCAGAUAUCGACCCUCAUGCGUCUGGAGAUUUACAGCUUACAAGAUGAGGUGGAGUUUCUGUGGACAAACGGCUCAUUUCAAAUAAAGUUUCUGUGUUUCAAACCCUU